rnacentral:rRNA from 1 species
UACGGAGGGUGCGAGCGUUGUCCGGAAUCAUUGGGCGUAAAGGGCGCGUAGGUGGCCCGGUCAGUUCGUGGUGAAAGCGCGGGGCUCAACCCUGCGUCGGCCAUGAAUACUGCCGCGGCUGGAGCACUGUAGAGGCAGGCGGAAUUCCGGGUGUAGCGGUGGAAUGCGUAGAGAUCCGGAAGAACACCGGUGGCGAAGGCGGCCUGCUGGGCAGUUGCUGACACUGAGGCGCGACAGCGUGGGGAGCAAACAGGAUUAGAUACCCUGGUAGUCCACGCCGUAAACGAUGGGCACUAGGCGCUUGGGGGAGCGACCCCCCGAGGGCCGGCGCUAACGCAUUAAGUGCCCCGCCUGGGGAGUACGGCCGCAAGGCUGAA